rnacentral:rRNA from 1 species
UACGUAGGAGACGAGCGUUGUCCGGAGUUACUGGGCGUAAAGGGUGCGCAGGUGGCGGCGCGCGUGGGGGGUGAAAUCGCCCGGCUUUAACUGGGCGGGGGCCUUCCAGACGGCGUGGCUUGAGCAGCGGAGGGGGACGUGGAAUUCCGGGUGGAGCGGUGAAAUGCGUAGAGAUCCGGAGGAACACCGACGGCGCAGGCAGCGUCCUGGCCGCCUGCUGACACUGAGGCACGAAAGCUGGGGGAGCAAACAGG